UUCUGAUGAUGUCUUUUUAUAACAAGACGAAAGAGCUAAAUCUGAAAUGAUGUACUUGGAAUAAAGGUGGAAUUUGAUUAUUGCACUACCGCUGCGUCCAGUUCAUUUUCAUUUUACUACAGUUGUUGGAAGUGUUGGAUUCAUUGGUUUGUUUUCGUUUGUUGUACAUUACGGAUAUCCAACAACAUGGCAGCGGAAGGUUCGCAGGACUUAUUUCCGAAUACUUUCACCGGCAACAUUGAUCUUACCCUGCUUAUCCAACAGAUGACCCAACAGAUAAUGCAACAGGUAACCAACAUCGAAUAAAAAUGCUAUGCAGAAUAUAGAGACUGGUAAUGCUAAAAGGAACAGCAAUCAUAACGUGGAACCAGGUGAGAGCAAUGUUCGGCGAGAAUAUGUUAACAGCUCUCAAAAUAACAACUGGCUGGAUACGUUAACUUUCAUUAAUACGAACUGUGUAACCAAUAGUAAUAACAAUAAUUUUACAGUAUUGGAACAGAUUCAGCAACUAGAAAAACAGUUGCAUAGAUACAAAUCAGUACAGUUGUAUAAUAGUUUUUUUAGCCAAAAGCAAUUGAAGGGGACGUGUGCCGAAAGGUUUACGAGUGUGGAAAUACCUUCAGGGAGUUGCACCGGAUAGUGUUUUCCGCUAUGAAUUGUUAGAGCUGCUUGAUCGGACCAGAAUCAAUAUGAUGAGGAUUAUUAUCAAAGAAAAUGAGAGACACCUAAAAGAACUGAAGGAGUCAGUACAGAAAUGGGUGUACUCUAUUACACAAGACAUGGUUUAUCCACUGUACAAGAAUCAGUAUGAAACAACAUUUCAAAAGGUGGAGAAUAAAAUCAACUCAUCAAGGGACAAAAAAACAAACUGGUGCAGGAUGACCUAGACUAUGCUAAUAAAACAGUAUACCCAAAACCAUAUUCCCCACACACUAACAACAAAAACUUUAAUGGAGGGGCAUAUGAUAGGGGGGAUAAUGUACAACAACGACAAACAGUAGUUCCUUUAGACAAUGGAGGACCAAGGUGAUUGGAAAGGAUAGCCAACCAACAGAACAGAAAAAUUAUGAACAACUUUGCACAUUUGAGGAGAGGGUCUACGGGCUUUGCCCAAUACAGGCAACAGAACAAUAGGAACUAGCAAAGAUGGAGAUGAUGAUGCACACCAUACAUGAAGGGACAACAGAAUAAUAAAAUAAUAAUUUGUAAGUAAAAUGCAAGCUUUGCCGGAAUGCUACUGUGAACUAACAGCAGGAGAAUCCGAAAUCCCUGAGGAACAUCCUCAUACUCAGGCUUGGGUGGAUCCGAUUUUCUGCAAUGGUACUGUGCAAGUCAUUUGAAGAAAAAUAGUGGAAGAACUAGAAGAGAUGUGGAUAUUGUAACGCUGGGGACUGAUUACAUUUAAAUUUUCUUGUGCAGCCCUGCUUGCUGUUCACCUUUUUUACUGCAGUAUGUACUGACAGUUAAUAUGCAGUACAGUCGAUGGUUAUACAACUUUCCUUUUAAUGAUUUUUGAAAUUUUCCUUCCUUUUUGAUUCUGUAAAUAUUUUAAAGCUAUUAAAGAAAAUAAUUCAUGAAGAGUC